CGACUCACAGUUAGCUCGAGCAGAACGAAAGAUUCCUCAUAAUGACUGUGGUCUCAUUACCAUAAACCAUGCGGAUGGAAAUUGUGCACGAGUGCACAUUUGCAUAGAAAGGUAUAAAUCCGUUUGCACAAAGGGCUGUCGUAGCUCUAAGUGGCAAUUACAACUUACUCAGCUGGUGGCUGCCAUCCUCUCUCUCUCUCUCUCUCUCUCCAACCUUUAGGAUCAGCACAGUGCACAUUUGUCUGCAAGUCGUCUCGUUCACUUUUGUGCGACGGCCUUCGUUCAAAACGACUGUUUGUGUUUGAUUCUUUCCAAACCGAGUAAUUAUUUUCCUGCUGAAAUGCUCAGCGAGGUCACGGGCUUAACGUGCGGCCUCGGCUCCGCUAAUUGAAACGCUCUGAUCUAUUUUUUUGGCGCUUUAUGUGUGUGUGUGUGUGUGUGUGUUGCAGGUGUGCCGAAGACCUCUGCAGGCCAGGCAGCUGCUGUCCCCUGACUCUGGAUCGGGACAGCCACACUCUGCUGCUGGCCUUCCCCUCCUGCGUGGUCAGAGUGCCGGUGGCUCGAUGCCAGCUCUACUCCCGAUGCAUGAAGAACUGCAUCGCCUCCAGGGAUCCGUACUGUGGCUGGACCAGAGGCAGCACUUGUUCUUUCCUCAGACCUGGGACCAGACUGCCGUUCGAGCAAGAUGUCGAACAGGGAAACGUGGCCCACUUGGGUGACUGCGACGG